rnacentral:lncRNA from 1 species
GGCUAGUAAGAUGAAUAGGCAGCUCUCCAAAGAUGAAACAAAUGGCCAGAGACAUAUGAAAAAUGUUCAGUCUUUGGUCCUCAAAGAUGUGCAAAUCAAAAGCCACACAGAGAUCCCAUCAUACCCCAGUCAGAAUGACAGUCACACAAAAGAACACAUGCUGCUGAGCGUGUGGGCAAAGGCAUCUCCUUCGUGGGAAAGUUCAAGGUGAAGAAGAUCUGAGAGUCACUGUGUGGUUAUAGGAGCUGAAGGUCAUCAUCCAGGUGAAGAGUCUGAGGAUCACUGUCCUGGUUACCCCACGUGUUGGUUAAUAGCCUCUACUUGAAAAGCACAGCAGACACGGGGCACACAUGGUCACUGAGAGCUGGUCAGCUGAUGCUCCAGGGGAAGGUGCACCCACUGGCCUUCUGUAGUGAACAAGAGAGUCUUCGAAGAAAAAGGAAAUGUAUCAGUAGCAGUUUAGCAUUGAUUCUGUGGGGUGGUAAGCUCUUGACUGUAUCGG